rnacentral:rRNA from 1 species
UACGAAGGGGGCUAGCGUUGUUCGGAAUUACUGGGCGUAAAGCGCACGUAGGCGGAUGUGUCAGUCAGGGGUGAAAUCCCGGAGCUCAACUUCGGAACUGCCUUUGAUACAGCACGUCUUGAGUCCGGAAGAGGUGGGUGGAAUUCCUAGUGUAGAGGUGAAAUUCGUAGAUAUUAGGAAGAACACCGGUGGCGAAGGCGGCCCACUGGUCCGGUACUGACGCUGAGGUGCGAAAGCGUGGGGAGCAAACAGG